rnacentral:rRNA from 1 species
CUUCGGAAGAAGUGUGGCUCACGCUGAUAAGGAUGUGAGCGGCAGAAAGCAGGCCCAGGCGACUGUUUAUCAAAAACACAGCCAUCUGCGAACCAGUAAUGGGACGUAUAGGUGGUGACACCUGCCCGGUACCGGAAGGUUAAGGGGAGGGGUUAGCAGCAAUGCGAAGCUCCGAACCGAAGCCCCGGCAAACGGCGGCCGUAACUAUAACGGUCCUAAGGUAGCGAAAUUCCUUGUCGGGUAAGUUCCGACCCGCACGAAUGGUGUAACGAAUCUGGACGCUGUCUCAACGCGAGACUCGGUGAAAUUUAUAUACCGGUAAAGAAGCCGGUUACCCAUAGUUAGACGGAAAGACCCCGUGAACCUUCACCGUAACUUAUCAUUGGUACUUGAUUUAUCAUGUGUAGAAUAGGUGGGAGACUAUGAAGCUUGGUCGUUAGAUUGAGUGGAGUCGGCAAGUGAAAUACCACCCUUGAUACAUCAGGUUUCUAACCUAUAGCCGUAAUCCGGCAUAGGGACAGUGAUAGGCAGGCGGUUUGACUGGGGCAGUCGCCUCCUAAACAGUAACGGAGGUGCGCGAAGGUCGCCUCAUGUCGGUUGGAAAUCGACACAGAGAGUGUAAAGGCACAAGGCGGCUUAACUGCGAGACGUACAUGUCGAGCAGAUACGAAAGUAGGUCUUAAUGAUCUUGCGGUAGCGAGUGGAAGCACCGUAACUUAACGGAUAAAAGGUACUCCGGGGAUAACAGGCUGAUAUUCCCCAAGAGUUCACAUCGACGGGAAUGUUUGGCACCUCGAUGUCGGCUCAUCGCAUCCUGGGGCUGAAGUAGGUCCCAAGGGUUUGGCUGUUCGCCAAUUAAAGCGGUACGUGAGCUGGGUUCAGAACGUCGCGAGACAGUUCGGUCCCUAUCUGCUAUGGGCGUUGGAUAUGUGAGAGGAGCUGUUUUUAGUACGAGAGGACCGAAAUGGACGAACCUCUGGUGUAUCAGUUGUCCUGCCAAGGGCAUGUGCUGAGUAGCUAAGUUCGGAAAGGAUAACCGCUGAAGGCAUCUAAGCGGGAAGCCUCCCUCAAGAUUACAUAUCCCUGAAUGUUUAACAUUCCUAAAGACUCCUUAUAGACUAUGAGGUUGAUAGGUUGGAGGUCUAAGUGUAGUAAUGCAUUGAGCCUACCAAUACUAAUAAGUCGUGUGGCUUGACCAU